rnacentral:rRNA from 1 species
GAAGCCCAGCUUGCUGGGUGGAUUAGUGGCGAACGGGUGAGUAACACGUGAGUAACCUGCCCUUAACUCUGGGAUAAGCCUGGGAAACUGGGUCUAAUACCGGAUAGGAGCGUCCACCGCAUGGUGGGUGUUGGAAAGAUUUAUCGGUUUUGGAUGGACUCGCGGCCUAUCAGCUUGUUGGUGAGGUAAUGGCUCACCAAGGCGACGACGGGUAGCCGGCCUGAGAGGGUGACCGGCCACACUGGGACUGAGACACGGCCCAGACUCCUACGGGAGGCAGCAGUGGGGAAUAUUGCACAAUGGGCGCAAGCCUGAUGCAGCGACGCCGCGUGAGGGAUGACGGCCUUCGGGUUGUAAACCUCUUUCAGUAGGGAAGAAGCGAAAGUGACGGUACCUGCAGAAGAAGCACCGGCUAACUACGUGCCAGCAGCCGCGGUAAUACGUAGGGUGCGAGCGUUAUCCGGAAUUAUUGGGCGUAAAGAGCUCGUAGGCGGUUUGUCGCGUCUGUCGUGAAAGUCCGGGGCUUAACCCCGGAUCUGCGGUGGGUACGGGCAGACUAGAGUGCAGUAGGGGAGACUGGAAUUCCUGGUGUAGCGGUGGAAUGCGCAGAUAUCAGGAGGAACACCGAUGGCGAAGGCAGGUCUCUGGGCUGUAACUGACGCUGAGGAGCGAAAGCAUGGGGAGCGAACAGGAUUAGAUACCCUGGUAGUCCAUGCCGUAAACGUUGGGCACUAGGUGUGGGGACCAUUCCACGGUUUCCGCGCCGCAGCUAACGCAUUAAGUGCCCCGCCUGGGGAGUACGGCCGCAAGGCUAAAACUCAAAGGAAUUGACGGGGGCCCGCACAAGCGGCGGAGCAUGCGGAUUAAUUCGAUGCAACGCGAAGAACCUUACCAAGGCUUGACAUGUUCUCGAUCGCCGUAGAGAUACGGUUUCCCCUUUGGGGCGGGUUCACAGGUGGUGCAUGGUUGUCGUCAGCUCGUGUCGUGAGAUGUUGGGUUAAGUCCCGCAACGAGCGCAACCCUCGUUCCAUGUUGCCAGCACGUAAUGGUGGGGACUCAUGGGAGACUGCCGGGGUCAACUCGGAGGAAGGUGAGGACGACGUCAAAUCAUCAUGCCCCUUAUGUCUUGGGCUUCACGCAUGCUACAAUGGCCGGUACAAUGGGUUGCGAUACUGUGAGGUGGAGCUAAUCCCAAAAAGCCGGUCUCAGUUCGGAUUGGGGUCUGCAACUCGACCCC